UAUUAGAUCAAGCUAAUAAGGGCUGUUGGUGGAUGCCUUGGCAUCGAGAGGCGAUGAAGGACGCGCAUACCUGCGAUAAGCUCUGGCGAGCUGGAAAGAAGCAUUGAGCCAGAGAUUUCCGAAUGGGGAAACCCAGUGGAGUUAAUCCUCCAUUAUUUCUAACUGAAUACAUAGGUUAGGAAGGCAAACCUGCUGAAUUGAGACAUCUAAGUAGGCAGAGGAAGAGAAAUCAAAAGAGAUUCCCGUAGUAGCGGCGAGCGAAGUGGGAAUAGCCCAAACCGAAAAUUUAUUUUCGGGGUUGUAGGACUAGUCAUAAAGCAAAUGUGAACCUAACAUAAUCAUCUGGGAAGUUGGGCGAUACAGGGUGAAAGCCCCGUGUGUAAAAGGGAAGCAUUUGUGAGAUU
rnacentral:rRNA from 1 species